GAUGAACGCUGGCGGCGUGCCUAAUACAUGCCAGUCGAGCGAACGGACGAGAAGCUUGCUUCUCUGAUGUUAGCGGCGGACGGGUGAGUAACACGUGGAUAACCUACCUAUAAGACUGGGAUAACUUCGGGAAACCGUAGCUAAUACUGGAUAAUAUUUUGAACCGCAUGGUUCAAAAGUGAAAGACGGUCUUGCUGUCACUUAUAGAUGGAUCCGCGCUGCAUUAGCUAGUUGGUAAGGUAACGGCUUACCAAGGCAACGAUGCAUAGCCGACCUGAGAGGGUGAUCGGCCACACUGGAACUGAGACACGGUCCAGACUCCUACGGGAGGCAGCAGUAGGGAAUCUUCCGCAAUGGGCGAAAGCCUGACGGAGCAACGCCGCGUGAGUGAUGAAGGUCUUCGGAUCGUAAAACUCUGUUAUUAGGGAAGAACAUAUGUGUAAGUAACUGUGCACAUCUUGACGGUACCUAAUCAGAAAGCCACGGCUAACUACGUG
rnacentral:rRNA from 1 species